CCCUCGAUAGCUCAGUUGACAGAGCGGAGGACUGUAGAUGUUACAACGGUGAUCCUUAGGUCGCUGGUUCAAAUCCGGCUCGAGGGA
rnacentral:tRNA from 1 species